GAGAAAAUAAAUAGCGGAUGAAUCUCAACAGUCCAAUCACGAAGUUGUCAGUGAUCGGUUCGUUCGGACUUCGGGAACAGAAGCAACUGAAAACCUAGACGAAGAUGCAAAUAUUUGUCAAAACCCUAACGGGGAAGACCAUCACCCUCGAGGUCGAGAGCAGCGACAUCAUCGACAACGUCAAGGCGAAGAUUCAGGAUAAAGAAGGUAUCCCUCUGAUCAGCAGAGGUUGAUUUUUGCUGGUAAGCAACUGGAAGAUGGCCGAACCCUGGCUGAUUACAUCCAAAGGAGUCCACUCU